UUGUUUAUGUAAUUGAACACACAAGCAUGCAAAAAAUAAGUGAAACAAACACCAGUAAAGACAGCUUUAAUGGCAAAAGCGAAAUCUUAAAACUACUUUGAUUCGAAACACGAAGAUUUGUUUCAGUGCGGAAAAGAUCAUUUUGAACAUGGGUCGAAGAAUUCUUGCCGACAAAUGUUGAGUGUUUUCUUACUUUGAGUGGCCCACAAGGUGUCAGAGAGACUGCAGCGGUCAAAGCUUAGGUAAAUCUCGUGAUAUUAAGUUAUUUGCUUGGUCAAAUAAGCAUCAAGAAAAUACUAAACACAAAUAAUGCUUGAAUUUAAUGCAGGGAAUUAUCUUCUGCAUAGCCUUUUUAAAAAACUUGUGAUCUCAGUAAAACUUUUAAUUCAUUCUUUCAAACAAAAAAGGCAUGUUCUGCUUUGGAGAUCAGAUAACCACUAGCGAAACUCAAGCUCAGUCCUUAUGUCUACUUCUCUUACAAUCUUCAAAAUAUUUUUAUAUUCAAAUGGUAAAAGAAUGAUACUUAUUGAGGAGUUUCCAAAUGUGAGUAAGGGAUCCAACCAUUAUUCAUUGCAUUCUAAGGUAUGCAUUUUUUUCAUGCGUUUGUUUUUACUUUAUAUUGAAAAUUCAUGAAAAAAUAUUUUUCU